rnacentral:misc_RNA from 1 species
CGAAUAUAUACACAUCCAAUCAGAAUCCAGACAUAGAUGGUGAAGUGAGAUGGUCCGGGCACCAGGGAAGCAGAAAUCCACCAGAUUGGUGUUACUGUGUGUGGGACUGUUAGGGUUUGGCGUUAUCGCUAAUUAUCUCUGGGCGUCUUCUCCCCUUCUCUCCAAUUGGUCUGCUGUUGAUAAUUCUUUCACCAAAUUAAUAAUCCCCAGAGAGGAAGAUCCAGUUCAGGAUGCUACAUUACCACCCUUUAAGGGAGAAGCUGACAAAGAAAAGAAGAAGAAGAAAAGCAAAGAUAAGGAUGUUCCUGACAGAUUCCUAUCAGCAACAUUUGCUGAUUUGCCUGCACCAGAAUUAAAAUGGGAGAAAAUGGCUCCUGCACCUGUGCCGCGUCUAGAUGGGGCUGCAAUACAGAUUAAGAAUCUUCUAUACGUGUUUGCUGGAUAUGGAACAAUCGAUUAUGUGCAUUCUCAUGUUGAUAUUUACAAUUUUACGGAUAACACAUGGGGAGGGAGAUUUGAUAUGCCUAAAGAAAUGGCACAUUCACACUUGGGAAUGGUGACAGAUGGUAGAUACAUUUAUGUUGUCACAGGACAAUAUGGUCCACAAUGUAGAGGGCCAACAGCUCGUACAUUUGUGUUAGAUACUAAGACAAAGCAAUGGCAGGAUAUGCCACCUCUACCAGCACCUAGAUAUGCACCUGCUACUCAACUUUGGAGAGGUAGACUCCAUGUGAUGGGUGGCAGCAAGGAAAAUCGGCACACUCCAGGAGUGGAGCAUUGGAGUCUUGCUGUAAAGGAUGGCAAAGCGUUAGAAAAUGAGUGGAGGACAGAGAUACCGAUACCUCAUGGACGUGGAGGCCCUCAUAGGGCUUGUAUUGUGGUUGAUGAUCGGCUUUUUAUCAUUGGUGGUCAAGAAGGAGAUUUUAUGGCAAAACCUGGAUCACCUAUUUUCAAGUGCUCACGUAGGAAUGAGCAAUAUCAUGUAAUUAAAAGAAAAAUACAUGGUGGCUGUCAAAAUAUCACAAAAGACGUGCCCUUGUUGCCCCUUGCAUAUGGAAAAAUGUGUGUGCCUGGGAAAUAGGGCUUGCACCUGCUUCAGGUUGCUUGCCCGACCAUGAUGGAGGUGCUAGACGUAUCACUUACGGAGUUUUGACAGGUAGUAUAUGACAAUGUCUACAUGCUGGAUGAUGACAUGAAGUGGAAAGUUUUACCUCCCAUGCCAAAGCCUGAUUCUCACAUUGAAUUUGCUUGGGUGAUUGUUAAUAAUUCCAUUGUUAUUUCUGGAGGCACCACAGAGAAACACCCCAUAACUAAAAAGAUGGUCCUGGUUGGUGAAGUCUUCCAGUUUAACCUAGGCACACUGGUAAGAAAUUCUGUCCAUUAUCCGCUCAUGGCAGUGAUGUAUGUAUGCCUGUUUGGAACAAAUGAUGUCCACAAAAUUUUGUGGAAUUCUUUAAAAAUAUUCCACUUUUCUCCGUUUUCUUUCUUUUUGAAUAAUUUUCUCUCUGCUCUGUUUUUUAUUAUUAAUAUUCAUUUGUUGUUGUAACUGAAUGGUAUUGAAGUCAUCUCUAGAACUAUAAGGUCUCGAGUUUGAGUCUCACUCAGAGCCAAAUAUACCCAUAUAUAUAUAUAUAUAUGUUCAUUUCUUGACCUCCAUUUUUUCUUUCUUUUCUUAAAUAUUUCUUUCUUCUCAAUUUUAUGUUUUCCUUUUUUAAGGAGAUAUAUUAUUUCUAAAUAAACCAAUUAAGUGAAGGGUAUUUUAGGUAAUAAUUGCUGUGUGUACAUGCACAAACAGCCCAGUAACCACACAAAUACAUUUCUUGCUUGAUUGCUGCUGUUAGAAUAGUUGCUGCUACUUUAUUGUCUUCAGCUGUCUGUGUCAAUGGUUUUCGAAGCUUUGAAUGGAAAUCCUAAAAUAGGUGGUAUUCUCUUGUAGAUAAGUAGAUCUCGAUAUGGAUGUUUUUUUCUGGUUAAAUUUUAUGCUUUCUCCUUGUCCUGGUGGAAUGACUUUGCAUAGAGAAAUAGGACUCAGUUGGUUGAAUCAUUAUGCUUUGGCACAUAAGAUGCUUUUGCUUUUAACUCUAAAUGAAGAGGAGGUGCUGACGAGUGAAUCUUACUCAUGAGCACGAGUUUACAUUAAAAUCAAAAUAUAAGAGAGGUUCUUUGGGAAGGGAUAAAUGUGCACAUCUCCCCAAAAGUAGCAUGGCAACUGUAUUUUCCUUCUUGUCCAAGGGACCUUGGUUGCAAAGCAUGCAGGGGCCAUUUUUCUCCAUUCUUCGUAAGCACCCAUGUGUAUUUUGAAGUCCCAACUUUUUUUUUUCGAAAUUUUGAAGUCCCAAUGAAUUGAUAAACUGGAAAACAAUACAAAUUUUGGCUUGGCUGACCACCAAAAAUUGCAAGAAAUCAAAAUAUAGUAAGAGCUGCGUACCACUGGGUUUAUGAGAGCUGUGUUCCUCUAGGUUUAUGAGAGCUGAUUGGUUUCAUAUAAGCUGCUGUCAGUACUAAGUUGCCAUGUCAACUCACUGAAAAAGUAGUGAUCACUUGUGGCUCAAACACAAGUUCAAAGUUGCUUACCAGUUGCCACUCAUAUUAUUUCUUGUUACAAUAAAAAUAAAUGACAUCAAAUAAACCUAUUAUAUUACUUUAUUGCAGAACAACAGUAUCUUAUGGAAUGUACUCAAAUAUUCAAGUUUUACAAUUUUUAUGCUAGAGCCUAUUGGUCUCGCAAUCUGCUGUCUAAAUGCGUAAUUGAUGCAGGAAAUCUAAGUGCGAUUUGUUUUUUUUGAUAUAUGAUUUGGCCUUCAUGGAAAUUGAUGCGUACUUGAUAUUUAACAAAUGGCAAAAAGGGUUCAUAUAGCCAACCCUAACUAAUUUGAGAUUAAGGCUUAAUUGUUG